rnacentral:rRNA from 1 species
UACGUAGGGGGCAAGCGUUGUCCGGAUUUAUUGGGCGUAAAGAGCUCGUAGGCGGUUCCGUAAGUCGAGUGUGAAAAAUCUGGGCUCAACCCAGUGGAGCACUCGAUACUGCGGUGACUGGAGUACGGUAGAGGAGUGUGGAAUUCCUGGUGUAGCGGUGAAAUGCGCAGAUAUCAGGAGGAACACCGGUGGCGAAGGCGGUUCUCUGGGCCUGACCUGACGCUGAGGAGCGAAAGCGUGGGGAGCGAACAGG